GAGAGAGAGAGAGGUUUGAAAGGGUCAGGUCUGUGCCGGCAAUCGAUAUAGGUAAAAACAUGUGUUCUUAUUUGGUGUCUUUGAUUUUCAAGCUUUUUGACUCUUGCUAGCACUGCGAACACAUUUCUCAACUAUCGUUAUAAGGAUUUUUGUAAGUCUUCUUUUUAAAAUAUUUAACUUAUUUUAUUUUUCUUGGCAUAUGUUAAUAUAUAUGGGCGAAUGAUGAUGACUUCUUCUUAUGAUAGGUUGCUCACAUGAUUUCAUAAAGUGGAACUUUACAGAAAAUGACACGGUUACAGGUAAGUAAGUUGUCUUAAAUCAACCGUGGGUACGUAUUUAUGUCGUAAUGUAUGCUGCUAUGCCAUUGCCAACUAUUGAAUUGGGGAAAAAAAAAACAGUAACCUCUAACUAAUGCAUCCUAACAUGUUGCUUCACAUAGAAGUCACUUAAAUUUCUUAAGGUAGUCAUUUUGGGUUUGAAGUGAAGUGAUUUAAAUUUUUUAAGCAUAUAAUUUUGAAUUCGAUAUUAAAUUUUGUGUAUAGAAACAUAUUAAAAGGUUUCCAUUUUAAC
rnacentral:lncRNA from 1 species